AAUCAACGCUGGCGGCGUGCCUAACACAUGCAAGUCGAACGAGAAAGUGGAGCAAUCCAUGAGUAAAGUGGCGCACGGGUGAGUAACACGUGACUAACCUACCCUUGAGUGGGGGAUAACUGAGGGAAACCUUAGCUAAUACCGCAUAAUACCUACGGGUCAAAGGAGCAAUUCGCUUUAGGAGGGGGUCGCGGUCGAUUAGUUAGUUGGCAGGGUAAUGGCCUACCAAGACUGUGAUCGAUAUCCGGCCUGAGAGGGCGCACGGACACACUGGAAC
rnacentral:rRNA from 1 species